rnacentral:tRNA from 1 species
GCCAGUUUGACUUAGUGGAUAGAGUGUCAGCCUGCAGACUGAAGGGUCCUGGGUUUGAUUCCAGGUGCAGGCU